rnacentral:lncRNA from 1 species
AUAUCCAUCUAAGCCUGGGAUAGAGGAGGAUUUCAGAAGCUUGUACAUAAAUAGAAGUGGCAAACUUAAUUCAUAAUCUGACUCCCAAAUUUGCAAUUAUUAACCUCUAGGUUUUCAGACACUCAAGACAAAACAAAAAAAUGCACAUUUAAAACAACAUACAACUAUAAGUUCAUCUACAGUGAACAUGUGAUAACUUCAGUUCUCUACAGACAGAAUCCUAGGAAACUUCAAUUCUCAGGGAUAAACACAGAAGGCAAAAUCUUGGAAGAGAUAAAUAGAAGGACUAACCAGAAAGUUGUGAAGGAAACCAAGAGAGAGUUGCAUUGAAAACCCAAGGGAGUAGAAAAUAUCAACAGAAGCUGAGUGCCAAGAAGUACAAUAAAUUAAAGGCAAAAUUUGAAUGGCAAGAGGUUAUGGCAGAAUAAAGAGACUUAAGAGAGAAUGGAGGGAAAAUUGAUAAAGCAAAAGGAAUCAAGCUGAAAAUUCACAAAGAUAGAAGAAGAAUGAAGUUCAAAAUACAAAUGCCUGGGUUGGCUUUGGACAAAAGAAGCACUACUUCAUUUGAAGUUGGGCAGCAACAGGAAUAGAAUAUUCCAGACAGGAGCUGUUCCUUUAACCUGGAUCACAGAAUGGAAUUUCAAGUGAAGCAGACCUUUAGUCAACCCAUAGACCUACAGCGGAGCCACAGACAAAUCUCAGGCUUCAUACAUGAGAAAUAAAUUGAUGUUUAUUUGUGUAAACC